rnacentral:rRNA from 1 species
GGUUCGAUUAUGGCUCAGAUUGAACAUGGCGGGAUGCUUUACACAUGCAAGUCGAACGGCAGCACGGACUUCGGUCUGGUGGCAGGUAGCGAACGGGUGAGUAAUGUAUCGGAACGUGCCUAGUAGCGGGGGAUAACUACGCGAAAGCGUAGCUAAUACCACAUACGCCUUCGGGGAAAGCGGGGGACCUUCGGGCCUCGCACUAUUAGAAACGGCCGAUAUCGGAUUAGCUGGUUGGUGGGGUAACGACCCGCAAGAGGCGGCGAUCCGUAGCUGGUUUGAGAGGACGACCAGUCACACUGGGACGAGACGCAGCGGAAAGCUCCUACGGGGAGGCAGCAGUGGGGAAUUUUGGACAAUGGAAACCCUGAUCCAGCCAUCCCGCGUGUGCGAUGAAGGCCUUCGGGUUGUAAAGCACUUUUAGCAGGAAAGAAACGCGCACGGAUAUGCCCGUGCAACUGACGGUACCUGCAGAAUAAGCACCGGCUAACUACGUGCCAGCAGCCGCGGUAAUACGUAGGGUGCAAGCGUUAAUCGGAAUUACUGGGCGUAAAGCGUGCGCGAGCGGUUCGGAAAGAAGAUGUGAAAUCCCAGAGCUUAACUUUGGAACGCAUUUUUAACUACCGAGCUAGAGUGUCAGAGGAGGUGGAAUUCCGCGUGUAGCAGUGAAAUGCAUGGGUAUACGGAGGAACACCGAUAAGCGAGAGCAGCCUCCUGGGAUAACACUGACGCUCAUGCACGAAAGCGUGGGAGCAAACGGGGAUUAGAUACCCUGGUAGUCCACGCCUAAAGCGAUGUCAACUAGCUGUUGGGGCCUUCGGGCCUUGGUAGCUGGCUAACGCGUAUUGGCCGCCUGGGGGUACAGUCGCCAAUUAAAACUCAAGGAAUUGACGGGGACCCGCACAAGCGGUGGAUGAUGGAUUAAUUCGAUGCUUACCGAAAACCUUACUACCUUGACAUGUCUGGAAUCCAGAAGAGAUUUGGGAGUGCUCGCAAAGAGGGGCCGGAACACAGGUGCUGCAUGGCUGUCGUCGGCUCGUGUCGUGAGAUGUUGGGUUAAGUCCCGCAACGAGCGCAACCCUUGUCAUUAGUUGCUACGAAAGGGCACUCUGGCUGCGAGACUGCCGGUGACAAACCGGAGAAGGUGGGGAUGACGUCGAUCCUCAUGACCCGCUAUGGGUAGGGCUACACGUCAUACAAUGGUCGCGGACAGAGGGUCGCCAACCCGCGAGGAGCCAGAAAUCCGAAGCCCGAUCGUAGUCCGGAUCGCAGUCUGCAACUCGACUGCGUGAAGUCGGAAUCGCUAGUAAUCGCGGAUCAAGCAUGUCGCGGUGAAUACGUUCCGGGUCUUGUACACCGCCCGUCUGUGGGAGUGGGUUUACCAAGUAGUUACAGCCCUUCAUGGGGAGGGCGAUUACCACGGUAGGAUUCAUGACUGGGGUGAAGUCGUAACAAAGGUAA